rnacentral:rRNA from 1 species
UACGUAGGGUGCAAGCGUUAAUCGGAAUUACUGGGCGUAAAGCGUGCGCAGGCGGUUUUGUAAGUCUGACGUGAAAUCCCCGGGCUCAACCUGGGAAUUGCGUUGGAGACUGCAAGGCUGGAGUCUGGCAGAGGGGGGUAGAAUUCCACGUGUAGCAGUGAAAUGCGUAGAGAUGUGGAGGAACACCGAUGGCGAAGGCAGCCCCCUGGGUCAAGACUGACGCUCAUGCACGAAAGCGCGGGGAGCGAACAGG